CUAUAGCCAAUUAAGAUGAUCAGCUGCUCUCUUCGUGGGAGCCUGAUGAGCAUUGGUUGCCAACAGCAACCUCCAUGAUAGUAUCCACCGCUUGCUGACAAUAUGAGUUGCCCUAAGGGAACUUGGAGACAAAU